rnacentral:ncRNA from 6 species
CCGUAGCCAUUUUGGCUCAAG